GAUGAACGCUGGCGGCGUGCUUAACACUUGCAAGUCGAACGAAGCACUUUAAUCGAUUUCUUCGGAUUGAAAUUUUAGUGACUGAGUGGCGGACGGGUGAGUAAUGCGUGGGUAACCUGCCUCACACAGGGGGAUAACAGUUGGAAACGGCUGCUAAUACCGCAUAAGCGCACAGUACCGCAUGGUACGGUGUGAAAAACUCCGGUGGUGUGAGCUGGACCCGCGUCUGAUUAGCUAGUUGGCAGGGUAACGGCCUACCAAGGCGACGAUCAGUAGGAGACCUGAGAGGGUGUCCGGCCGCAUUGGGACUGAGAAACGGCACAAACUCCUACGGGAGGCAGCAGUGGGGAAUAUUGCACAAUGGGGGAAACCCUGAUGCAGCGACGCCGCGUGAGCGAAGAAGUAUUUCGGUAUGUAAAGCUCUAUCAGCAGGGAAGAAGAAAUGACGGUACCUGACUAAGAAGCACCGGCUAAAUACGUGCCAGCCGCCGCGGUAA
rnacentral:rRNA from 1 species